UACGGGGGGUGCAAGCGUUGUUCGGAAUUAUUGGGCGUAAAGAGCGUGUAGGCGGUUUGUUUAGUCUGAUGUGAAAGCCCUGGGCUCAACCCAGGAAGUGCAUUGGAUACUGGCAGACUUGAAUACGGGAGAGGGUAGUGGAAUUCCUAGUGUAGGAGUGAAAUCCGUAGAUAUUAGGAGGAACACCGGUGGCGAAGGCGGCUGCCUGGACCGAUAUUGACGCUGAGACGCGAAAGCGUGGGUAGCAAACAGG
rnacentral:rRNA from 2 species